rnacentral:rRNA from 1 species
GAUGAACGCUAGCGACAGGCUUAACACAUGCAAGUCGAGGGGUAACAGGGUAGCAAUACCGCUGACGACCGGCGCACGGGUGAGUAACGCGUAUGCAACCUGCCUAUAACUGGGGAAUAGCUCCCUGAAAGGGGAAUUAACACCGCAUAACACUAUUGAUUCGCAUGGAUUGGUAGUUAAAUGUAGCGAUACAGGUUAUAGAUGGGCAUGCGUGACAUUAGCUAGUUGGUGAGGUAACGGCUCACCAAGGCUACGAUGUCUAGGGGUUCUGAGAGGAUGGUCCCCCACACUGGUACUGAGACACGGACCAGACUCCUACGGGAGGCAGCAGUGAGGAAUAUUGGUCAAUGGGCGGAAGCCUGAACCAGCCAUGCCGCGUGCAGGAAGGAGGCCCUACGGGUUGUAAACUGCUUUUACCCGGGAAGAACCGCCCCUGUGGGGGCGUUGCCGGUACCGGGGAUAAGGAUCGGCUAACUCCGUG